rnacentral:rRNA from 1 species
CCUACGGGAGGCAGCAGUGAGGAAUAUUGGUCAAUGGACGAGAGUCUGAACCAGCCAAGUAGCGUGAAGGAUGACUGCCCUAUGGGUUGUAAACUUCUUUUAUAUGGGAAUAAAAUGUUUCACGUGUGGGAUUUUGUAUGUACCAUAUGAAUAAGGAUCGGCUAACUCCGUGCCAGCAGCCGCGGUAAUACGGAGGAUCCGAGCGUUAUCCGGAUUUUUUGGGUUUACAGGGAGCGUAGGUGGAUUGUUAAGUCAGUUGUGAAAGUUUGCGGCUCAACCGUAAAAUUGCAGUUGAAACUGGCAGUCUUGAGUACAGUAGAGGUGGGCGGAAGUCGUGGUGUAGCGGUGAAAUGCUUAGAUAUCACGAAGAACUCCGAUUGCGAAGGCAGCUCACUGGACUGCAACUGACACUGAGGCUCGAAAGUGUGGGUAUCAAACAGGAUUAGAUACCCCUGUAGUC